rnacentral:rRNA from 1 species
AAUUGCCAUCAUUCAGUUGGGCACUUUAAAGAGACUGUCGGUGUUAAACCGGAGGAAGGUGGGGAUGACGUCAAGUCCUCAUGGCCUUUAUGCCCAGGGCUACACACGUGCUACAAUGGGUGGUACAAAGAGCAGCGAGCUCGCGAGAGUGAGCGAAUCUCAAAAAAGCCAUCCUCAGUUCGGAUUGCAGUCUGCAACUCGACUGCAUGAAGUUGGAAUCGCUAGUAAUCGCGGAUCAGCAUGCCGCGGUGAAUACGUUCCCGGGCCUU